UUAUCUUUUAUCUGCUCUCAUCCAAUUCCAGCUACAUUUUGUAGCAAGUACAAGUACCUCGUGUUUAAAACGUAUGUGCUAUUUUAAGCACUUAAUGUUAACACCCAACCCAAACAAUUUUCCUAGUUUACUCCGAUAAAAUGAAGCUCCUCGUAGCAAUUCUCUUCCUUAUUUCUGCAGCAUCAGCCGCCCAAAAAUGCUACACAUGCUCAACGACAACAAAACCCGCAUGUGAAAACCUCUCAGACCUUUCAAACAUUGAUACGUGCGUAAGCACAGCCUCGGAGGGAAUUAAUUGCGUCAUGUACAAGUUUAGACUAAACGGGAGAGAUCUUGAUAUCGUAUACCGAGGCUGUUUAACAAAAGACAGAACCUGCGAUGAUGAAAAGGCCGCAUUACAAAACGAAAAGAAAGAAAUGCUUGAUUGUAGGUUAUGUGAAACUGAUUUGUGCACGAACACGAACGCGGUGUCUCGAAUUAAUUUAUCGAAUAUUUUAAGUGUAAUCACGUUUAUUGUAAUUAAAUUAGUUAAUUAAUAAAAUUAUUGCACCUGAA